rnacentral:rRNA from 1 species
UACAGAGGGUGCGAGCGUUAAUCGGAAUUACUGGGCGUAAAGCGCGCGUAGGCGGCUUUGCAAGUCGGGUGUGAAAUCCCCAGGCUUAACCUGGGAACUGCAUUCGAGACUGCAUUGCUAGAGUAUGGGAGAGGGAAGUGGAAUUUCCGGUGUAGCGGUGAAAUGCGUAGAUAUCUGGAGGAACACCGGUGGCGAAGGCGACAUCCUGGACCAACACUGACGCUGAGGAGCGAAAGCCAGGGGAGCAAACGGG